GACGAACGCUGGCGGCGUGCUUAACACAUGCAAGUCGAACGGAAAGGCCCUGCUUUUGGGGGUGGUUCGAGUGGCACACGUGUGAGUAACACGAGUAUAACCCGCUCUUCACUUGGGUAAAACUGCGAGACACGGUGUCUUACAGCGUAUUAGUGCCUGUGGCGCGGGGGGGGGUGUGGAAGGUUUAGGGGGUUUGGGAUGGCCUCGCGGCUUAUCAGCUUGUUGGUGGGGUAGUGGCUUACCAAGGCGUCGACGGGUAGCCGGCCUGGGAGGGUGACCGGCCACAUUGGGCCUGGGAUACGGCCCAGACUCCUCCGGGGGGCAGCAGUGGGGAAUAUUGCACAAUGGGCGGAAGCCUGAUGCAGCACCGCCGCGGGCGGGAUGACGGCCUUCGGGUUGUAACCCGCUUUAGCAUGUGACGAAGCGUGAGUGACGGUAAUGGGUAAAGAAGCACCGGCUAACUACGUG
rnacentral:rRNA from 1 species